GAUGAAGAACGUAGCGAAAUGCGAUAAGUAAUGUGAAUUGCAGAAUUCAGUGAAUCAUCGAAUCUUUGAACGCACAUUGCGACCGCCAGUAUUCUGGCGGGCAUGCCUGUUCGAGCGUCAUUUCAACCCUCAGGCCCCCAGUGCCUGGUGUUGGGGAUCGGCCCAGCCUUCCUGUAAGGCCGCCGGCCCCGAAAUCUAGUGGCGGUCUCGCUGUAGUCCUCCUCUGCGUAGUAGCACAACCUCGCAGUUGGAACGCGGCGGUGGCCAUGCCGUUAAACACCCCACUUCUGAAAGUUGACCUCGGAUCAGGUAGGAAUACCCGCUGAACUUAAGCAUAUCAAUAAGCGGAGGA
rnacentral:misc_RNA from 1 species